rnacentral:lncRNA from 1 species
CGACCCUAUAAUAUGGGAACACCAUCAGAAAUCCAUGCAGGCGUUUAAUCCUGACAUUUAGACCCCAGGAUAUUUGUUUUCUUAUAUUUUGUGAUCUGUAUUUCUUGUCUUUCCUCUCUUCCUUUAUAUGUUGUCCCUUUUGAUUUCAUAUCUUCAUGCAUUAGAAGAAAUCAAGGGCAGAAGACCCUCCUCAAGUGAUGAUGGUAAUAGUGCAAACUGAUUCAAAAGCAGACUUCUUGGACAAGGCAUGUGACCAGAUUCUGUGGCUGAACUUCUGACUUCCAAAGGUUUACGCACAGUUGGGACUUUCUUCCUUUUUGAAUCACACUGACCAGGAUUUUGUUGAGAGAACACACAC